ACUCCUACGGGAGGCAGCAGUGAGGAAUAUUGGUCAAUGGACGGAAGUCUGAACCAGCCAUGCCGCGUGCAGGAAGACGGCCCUACGGGUUGUAAACUGCUUUUAUACGGGGAUAAACCUAUCUUUGCGAAGAUAGCUGGAGGUACCGUAUGAAUAAGCAUCGGCUAACUCCGUGCCAGCAGCCGCGGUAAUACGGAGGAUGCGAGCGUUAUCCGGAUUUAUUGGGUUUAAAGGGUGCGUAGGCGGACAAAUAAGUCAGUGGUGAAAUCACUCAGCUUAACUGAGUAACUGCCAUUGAUACUGUUAGUCUAGAAUGUAAAUGGAGUAGGCGGAAUGAAUCAUGUAGAGGUGACAUUCAUAGAUAUGAUUCAGAACACCGAUCGCGAAGGCAGCUUGCUAAGAUACAAUUGACGCUGAUGCACGAAAGCGUGGGUAGCAAACAGGAUUAGAUACCCUGGUAGUC
rnacentral:rRNA from 1 species